UUAUUUUUUUAUAUUAUCUAUUUUAUUCAAAAAAAAAAUUUAUUAAUUUGUUUAUAUAUUUAUUAAAUCAAAAUAAUUUCCAAAAUUUAUUACUUUUAAUAUUUUAAAUUAUCUUUACCUAAUCAUUAUAGAUUAUGGUUAAAUUAACAUACUCAUUAAUUACUUAUUCAAUCAAAUUUAAUUUUUAUUAAUCAUUUAUUCAAUCAAAUUAAAUUCUUAUUAAUUUCUUAUCCAAUCAAAGUCAAUUCUUAUUAAUUGUUUGUUCAAUUAAAUUCAAUUCUCAUUAAUUAUGUAAUCAAUCAAAUUCAACUCCAGUAACUAUCACCAUUUGCCUAAUUCUUAAUUUAAGUCUUAAUUUAUUUAUUCUUCUCCCAAAUACAUAUAUACACGCAUACACGUGCUUAUAUAUAUAUUAUACAGGCACACACACACACACACACACACACACACACACACAACACAUACCCCAUUCAUUAUGUGCCUAUAUAUAUGUAUCAUAUUCUUUCAAUUUGUUUUUUAAAUUUAUAUUAUAAGAUACAAUUAUAUAAUUACAAUUAUAAAGCUUAUGACAUUAGUUAUAUAUAUAAAAAAAUCUCUAUAUAUAUUUUGCAUUAAUCAUACUUAUUUUGAUUAAAAUACAUUUAUAUAUAUAUAAACUAUACAUACAUAUAUUAUUAUUUUGAACACAAAUAUCCCAAGCAUACUUACAUAUAUUCAUUUAUCAUAUUCUUCUACUUUUAUAAUUUACACCUUUUAUAAUUUACACCAUAUUGUAAAUUAUAUAAUUAUAAUUAUAAAGUUUAUUAUUGUUAUUUAAAUAUAUAUAUAUAUAUAUAUAUACCUUCAUGCAAUAUUAUUUAUAUUAUGACAUUUGGAUUAUAGUGCACACAGAUUAUUAUUUUAAUCAUAUAUAACCAUACAUGCAAUUAUUUAUACAUAGUUAUAUGUGUAUAUAUAUACACACGGAAAAUAUACAUACACAGUGUAUCUAUAUUUAUAUAUUUUUUGUUUCCCUUUAUACAUUUAUGCCAAAUUCAUAUAAAUAAAUAUAUAGUUUAUAUAUAUAUAUAUAUAUAUAUAUAUCUCAUAUGCAUAAUAUAUAUACACACACAACAUAUAUCCUAUAUAAAUAUACAUAUAUAUAGGGAUAUAACUUAAUUUUAGUCACCCUCUCACUACACCGAACCCUCACCAUCUCUCCGUUUAAAUUCAAGUUUUUUCAUUCAAAAUCGAAUAAACCAUAUGUAUUUGUUUUAAACAUCAAGUAUGCCAUGGUGUUAAACAAUUUAAAGUAAAAUAACAUAAACAAAGUUAACAAAGAAAACAUAUAGUUUGGCCCCAUCAGUUAACCCGCAUGCAUCCCCUUGUUAAAAAGUUAAAUGAUUCAUUAUAGUAUUUUAUAGUUAAAUCUUAUAUAAACAGAUUUGAAACAACCCUAUUUAGUAUCCCUAUCUUAACCGGAACAUAAAACUGUCGGUCUUCACGAUGGGGGAUGGACUUCCCUUCGACCAAAGGUUUACCCUUUUGGAUUUGGAUUUUCCUUCUAAAUGUGCAUGAAAGUUAAUGAAAUCUAAACUAGAAGAGAAAAGGAAGAGAAACGGGAAGAAAUCAACUUACCUUUGUCGGUUUUCUUCUUCUAGAGUGGCGGCUCCGCCUAAAUUCGCCACCUUGUUUAUAUUUCUAGUGACCUUCUCUCUUCUUUCUCUCAUUUUCUUUUGUUUAACUUGAUUGAAAGAGGGAAAAAUGUGUUG
rnacentral:lncRNA from 1 species